rnacentral:rRNA from 1 species
CCCUUAGAUGUUCUGGGCCGCACGCGCGCUACACUGUUCGACGCAGCGAGUCUUAACCUUGACCGAAAGGUUUGGGUAAUCUUCAGCAAAGUCGAACGUGAUGGGGAUCGAUCAUUGCAAUUAUUGAUCGUGAACGAGGAAUUCCUAGUAAGUGCAAGUCAUCAGCUUGCGCUGAUUACGUCCCUGCCCUUUGCACACACCGCCCGUCGCUACUACCGAUUGAAUGGUUUAGUGAGAUCUCUGGAUUGACGCUGGCUAGGGGGCGACCCUUGGCCAGACUGCUCGAGAAACUGCUCAAACUUGAUCAUUUAGAGGAAGUAAAAGUCGUAACA